rnacentral:rRNA from 1 species
ACGGCUCAGUAACACGUAGCUAACCUACCCUUAAGUCGAGGAUACUCUCGGGAAACUGAGGUUAAUACUCGAUAGGAGAUGUACCCUGGAAUGAUUCAUCUCUCAAAUUCGAGCUUAAGGAUGGGGCUGCGGCGGAUUAGGUUGUUGGCGGGGUAAAAGCCCACCAAGCCGAUGAUCCGUAAGGGCUCUUAGCGGAGAGGCCCUGAGAGGGAAUCUGAGACACUAUUCCCAGCCCUACGGGGUGCAGCAGUUAGGAAUCUUCUGCAAUGCGCGCAAGCGUGACAGAUUGAGUCAGAGUGCUUUUCAUAUGAAAAGCUUUUGCCAAAUGUAAAAAGUUUGGCGAAUAAGGACUGGGUAAGACGGGUGCCAGCCGCCGCGGUAAUACCCGCGGUCCAAGUCGCAGCCAUCAUUAUUGGGUCUAAAACAUCCGUAGCUUGCUUGAUAAGUUUCUUGUGAAAUUCCAUGUCUCAAAUAUGGAGCGGGCAAGAAGUACUGUUAGGCUAGAGACUGGAAGACGUAAGAAGUACGUUUGGAGUAGCGGUAAAAUGUGUUAAUCCCAGACGGACUAACAACAGCGAAGGCAUCUUACGAGGACAGUUCUGACAGUAAGGGAUGAAGGCUAGGGGCGCGAAAGGGAUUAGAUACCCCUGUAGUCCUAGCAGUAAACACUGCACACUAAACAUUAGUACCUCCUCGAGAGGUGUUAGUGCUGAAGAGAAGUCGAAGAGUGUGCUACCUGGGAAGUAUAGUCGCAAGGCUGAAACUUAAAGGAAUUGGCGGGGGAGCACAAUCACUAG